AUACUUACCUGGCAGGGGAGAUACCAUGAUCAUGAAGGUGGUUUUCCCAGGGCGAGGUUUAUCCAAUGCACUCUGGAUGUGCUGACCCCUGAGAUUUCCCCAAAUGAGGGAAACUCGACUGCAUAAUUUGUGGUAGUGGGGAACUGCAUUCGUGUUCUCCCCUG
ensembl:snRNA U1 U1 spliceosomal RNA